UACAGAGGGUGCGAGCGUUAAUCGGAAUUACUGGGCGUAAAGCGUGUGUAGGUGGUUAGAUAAGUUAGAUGUGAAAACCCUGGGCUUAACCUGGGAACUGCGUUUAAGACUGUUUAGCUAGAGUAUUGUAGAGGAUAGUGGAAUUUCCAGUGUAGCGGUGAAAUGCGUAGAUAUUGGAAGGAACACCAGUGGCGAAGGCGACUAUCUGGACAGAUACUGACACUGAGACACGAAAGCGUGGGGAGCAAACAGG
rnacentral:rRNA from 1 species